AGGGUGUAAACGCUGCAGACUUGGUGUUGGAAGUCCUUUGGGGGCAUUCAGUGCCGGAGAGAAGUUGUUAAGUCUGCUACUUGGGGAGUACGUCCGCAAGGAUGAAACUUAAAGGAAUUGGCGGGGGAGCACCGCAACGGGAGGAGCGUGCGGUUUAAUUGGAUUCAACACCGUAAACUCACCAGGGAAGACUGUUACAUGAAAGCCGAGAUGAAGACUCUGCUAGAUUUUCAGAGAGGUGGUGCAUGGCGUC
rnacentral:rRNA from 1 species